GACGAACGCUGGCGGCGUGCUUAACACAUGCAAGUCGAACGGAAAGGCCCUUCGGGGUACUCGAGUGGCGAACGGGUGAGUAACACGUGGGUGAUCUGCCCUGCACUUUGGGAUAAGCCUGGGAAACUGGGUCUAAUACCGAAUAGGACCACGCGCUUCAUGGUGUGUGGUGGAAAGCUUUUGCGGUGUGGGAUGGGCCCGCGGCCUAUCAGCUUGUUGGUGGGGUAAUGGCCUACCAAGGCGACGACGGGUAGCCGGCCUGAGAGGGUGACCGGCCACACUGGGACUGAGAUACGGCCCAGACUCCUACGGGAGGCGGCAGUGGGGAAUAUUGCACAAUGGGCGCAAGCCUGAUGCAGCGACGCCGCGUGAGGGAUGACGGCCUUCGGGUUGUAAACCUCUUUCACCAGGGACGAAGCGUAAGUGACGGUACCUGGAGAAGAAGCACCGGCCAACUACGUG
rnacentral:rRNA from 1 species